AUUGAACGCUGGCGGCAGGCCUAACACAUGCAAGUCGAGCGGAUGAAGGGAGCUUGCUCCUGGAUUCAGCGGCGGACGGGUGAGUAAUGCCUAGGAAUCUGCCUGGUAGUGGGGGAUAACGUCCGGAAACGGGCGCUAAUACCGCAUAUGUCCUGAGGGAGAAAGUGGGGGAUCUUCGGACCUCACGCUAUCAGAUGAGCCUAGGUCGGAUUAGCUAGUUGGUGGGGUAAAGGCCUACCAAGGCGACGAUCCGUAACUGGUCUGAGAGGAUGAUCAGUCACAGUGGAAGGGAGACAGGGGGCAGAGGCCGGCGGGAGGGAGCAGUGGGGAAGGGUGGACAAGGGGCGGAAGCCUGAGGGAGGCAGGCCGCGUGUGUGAAGAAGGUCUGCGGAUUGGAAAGCACGGUGAGGGGGGAGGAAGGGCAGUAAGUUAAGACCGUGCUGUGUUGACGUUACCAACAGAAUAAGCACCGGCUAACUUCGUG
rnacentral:rRNA from 1 species